rnacentral:rRNA from 1 species
AUGGGCGGAGUACUGCUACAACACCUCCUAUCACUCCGCCUGCGUGCGACACCAUUUGAGGUGGUCUACGGUCGGCCGCCUCCACCUAUCUUGCCGGUGUACCUGGCUACGGCGCGGACGGAGGCUGCGGGUGACCUUAUUCGCACCCAUGACGAGAUGCUUGCUGAGGUCUGUCAGCGUCUCCUUCGGGCCCAGCAGCUGGCGAAGCAUUACUACGACGACCACCAUCGCGAGGCGGAGUUUGCGGUGGGUGAUUGGGUGUGGCCGCGUCUUCUCCACCGCUCUAUGCAGUCACUCGACCCGCGCGCAAAGCGCAAGCUCGGUCCUCGCUAUGCUGGACCCUUCGCUAUCUUGAAGCGCAUCGGGCAGGUGGCCUAUCGCCUUCAGCUACUGGCUGCCGCUCGCAUACACGACGUGUUUCAUGUGGGGCUUCUCAAGCCUUUUCAUGGAGAGCCACCGGCGGCUCCACCCGCGCUUCCUCCAACCGCCAACGGACGUCUUCUUCUGGAGCCAGAGAAGGUGUUGAAGGCACAACUCCGUCGCGGGCUGUGGUUCGUCUUGAUCCAAUGGGCGGGACUUCCAGUGGAGGAGGCUACUUGGGAGCCACGUGAUGACUUCCGCCACCACUAUCCAGACUUUCAGCUCGAGGACGAGCUGUUUGUGCAGGCGGGGAGAGAUGUUAUGACCGUUUUAACAUAUAACCGGAGGAGGCCCACUGGGCAGUAG